UAAUGUGCCAGCAUAGUGUUUAGAGCACUGGACUACAACUCUGGAGACCAGGGUUCAAAUCCCUGCUCAUCCA